ACUUGAGUACACGGUCGCCGGAC
rnacentral:siRNA from 1 species